rfam:Pichia angusta strain DL-1 mitochondrion, complete genome.
GGAAAUUUUAUCAUUGGUAAGAUAAGUUACUUGCUAUGUAAUGGAGAAAUCUUGAUAGGUUCGAAUCCUAUAAUUUCCG